rnacentral:misc_RNA from 1 species
UCGUAACAAGGUCUCCGUAGGUGAACCUGCGGAGGGAUCAUUACAAGUGACCCCGGCUACGGCCGGGAUGUUCAUAACCCUUUGUUGUCCGACUCUGUUGCCUCCGGGGCGACCCUGCCUUCGGGCGGGGGCUCCGGGUGGACACUUCAAACUCUUGCGUAACUUUGCAGUCUGAGUAAACUUAAUUAAUAAAUUAAAACUUUUAACAACGGAUCUCUUGGUUCUGGCAUCGAUGAAGAACGCAGCGAAAUGCGAUAAGUAAUGUGAAUUGCAGAAUUCAGUGAAUCAUCGAAUCUUUGAACGCACAUUGCGCCCCCUGGUAUUCCGGGGGGCAUGCCUGUUCGAGCGUCAUUUCACCACUCAAGCCUCGCUUGGUAUUGGGCAACGCGGUCCGCCGCGUGCCUCAAAUCGUCCGGCUGGGUCUUCUGUCCCCUAAGCGUUGUGGAAACUAUUCGCUAAAGGGUGUUCGGGAGGCUACGCCGUAAAACAACCCCAUUUCUAAGGUUGACCUCGGAUCAGGUAGGGAUACCCGCUGAACUUAAGCAUAUCUAAA